UAUGCUUCACAUUUGGAUUAGAUACCCCACUAUGCUCAGCCAUAAACCUAGACAUCCAGCUACAAUUAGAUGUCCGCCCGGGUACUACGAGCAUCAGCUUGAAACCCAAAGGACCUGACGGUGCCUCAGACCCCCCUAGAGGAGCCUGUUCUAGAACCGAUAACCCCCGUUAAACCUCACCACUUCUAGCCAUCCCAGCCUAUAUACCGCCGUCGUCAGCUUACCCUGUGAAGGUAAUAAAAGUAAGCAAAAUGGGCACAACCCAGAACGUCAGGUCGAGGUGUAGCGUACGAAGUGGGAAGAAAUGGGCUACAUUUUCUAUCACAGAACACUACGAACAUGCAACAUGAAAUAGUGCUUGAAGGAGGAUUUAGUAGUAAAAAGGAAGCAGAGUGUCCUUUUGAACCCGGCUCUGAGGCGCGUACACACCGCCCGUCACCCUCUGCAGUCAA
rnacentral:rRNA from 1 species